CCUACGGGUGGCUGCAGUCGAGAAUUUUUCACAAUGGGGGAAACCCUGAUGGAGCGACGCCGCGUGGGGGAUGAAGGGCUUCGGCUCGUAAACCCCUGUCAUUCGCGAAUAAUUGCUGUGACUUAACACGUCACGGCUUGAUAGUAGCGGAAGAGGAAGGGACGGCUAACUCUGUGCCAGCAGCCGCGGUAAUACAGAGGUCCCAAGCGUUGUUCGGAUUUACUGGGCGUAAAGGGUGCGUAGGCGGCGCGGAAAGUUCGGGGUGAAAUCUCCAG
rnacentral:rRNA from 1 species